CAGAGGAUAGUUUAAAUGAAGAAUGUUAGCUUUGGGAGUUAACGGUAAGGGUUGAAAUCCUUUUUCUCUGA
rnacentral:tRNA from 1 species